rnacentral:rRNA from 1 species
UACGUAGGUGGCGAGCGUUGUCCGGAUUUACUGGGCGUAAAGGGAGCGUAGGCGGAUUUUUAAGUGAGAUGUGAAAUACCCGGGCUCAACUUGGGUGCUGCAUUUCAAACUGGAAGUCUAGAGUGCAGGAGAGGAGAGUGGAAUUCCUAGUGUAGCGGUGAAAUGCGUAGAGAUUAGGAAGAACACCAGUGGCGAAGGCGACUCUCUGGACUGUAACUGACGCUGAGGCUCGAAAGCGUGGGGAGCAAACAGG